AACACACAGGAAAAACCCUCAACUUCUUUCAUUUGGCUGUUGAGAUAAAGGGAAAGAGAGUCCCCGUCCAGGCCUGCAGGAGAAGGAGAACUGGUGGAUGUAAAUGAAAAAGCAGAGGCAUUCCUCAGGGUCUUGCUCUGCCACCCAGCCUGGAGUGCAGUGGUGCAAUCGUGGCUUACUGCAGUCUCAACUUCCUGGGCUCAAGCAAUCCUUCCACCUCAACCUUCCCAGUAGCUGGGACUACAGGGAAGGUCUCACAUGAAAGCAAGCAUCCCAUCUUCCUCCCUUCAGUAAUCCAAAGAGGAGGAGGCAUAAGAAAAAGCUUUUCCUCAGCGCUAAGGUAGGUUGCUCAACAAAGGCAUUUUAUAAGCAUCUAGAAACCUGCAUCAGAUGCCACGUAAACAGCCUCGAAUUGAGGAAAAACACGUACGUCACCCAAGAGUGCAGCACAGUUGUUUCCUAAAGAUUAAGAGGAAGAAAUUUUGGAAAAGUAAACAAAAAAAAAAUCACUAAAUUAGGAAGUUGGGCAACAUAGAUGGGUGGAAGGAACAUGGUACUCUGCAGAAACCCCUUCCCUAUCUUGGACAUAAGGUCAUCUAAGGCCACAGUGGAGUGGCCCACAGAAGGAACAGUGAGUGGCCAGCCUUGGCAAAUUUUUCUCUUACAUGGUUUAAUUUUUACUUUUACGUUUUUUGUAUUAUAAAUGAUCAUAUAUAAAGGAGUUAUUAAAAUUAUUGUGAUUAAAAUUAUUAUAAAUGAAAUUGUUAUAUCAAAACUUAAAAAUCAUUUUAAAAAUUAGUAUUACAUGAAAGGUUGCAAGGAAACAAACACCUGUCCAUUAGCUCCUGACCUUCAGAAGUGGAACAUCAAUGGCAUCUUCAAAGGUCUGGACUGCAUCUCCCUGAUCCCCGCCCUUCA